GACGAACGCUGGCGGCGUGCUUAACACAUGCAAGUCGAACGCUGAAGCUUGGUGCUUGCACUGGGUGGAUGAGUGGCGAACGGGUGAGUAAUACGUGAGUAACCUGCCCUUGACUCUGGGAUAAGCCUGGGAAACUGGGUCUAAUACUGGAUACGACAUGUCACCGCAUGGUGGUGUGUGGAAAGGGAUUUACUGGUUUUGGAUGGGCUCACGGCCUAUCAGCUUGUUGGUGGGGUAAUGGCUCACCAAGGCGACGACGGGUAGCCGGCCUGAGAGGGUGACCGGCAACUCUGUGACUGAGACACAGCGCAGACUCCAACGGGAGGCAGCAGUGGGAAAUAUUGCACAAUAGGCGAAAGCCUGAUGCAGCGACGCCGCGAAAGGGAUGACGGCCUUCGGGUUGUAAACCUCUUUCAACACGGAAAAAGCGAAAGUGACGGUACGUACUGAAGAGGCGCCGGCUAACUACGUG
rnacentral:rRNA from 1 species